GUGAGGAAUUUUCCGCAAUGGGCGAAAGCCUGACGGAGCAAUGCCGCGUGAAGGAUGAAGGCCUAUGGGUUGUAAACUUCUUUUCUCAGAAAAGAAUUAUGACGGUAUCUGAGGAAUAAGCAUCGGCUAACUCUGUGCCAGCAGCCGCGGUAAGACAGAGGAUGCAAGCGUUAUCCGGAAUGAUUGGGCGUAAAGCGUCUGUAGGUUGUUUAAAAAGUAUUCUGUCAAAGAUUAGGGCUUAACCCUAGAUAGGCAGAAUAAACUUUUAAGCUAGAGUUUGGUAGAGGCAGAGGGAAUUCCCGGUGGAGCGGUGUAAUGCGUAGAUAUCGGGAGGAACACCAAAGGCGAAGGCACUCUGCUGGGCCAAUACUAACACUGAGAGACGAAAGCGAGGGGAGCAAAUGGGAUUAGAUACCCUAGUAGUCC
rnacentral:rRNA from 1 species